CUGCUCGCUUUGGCAGCAAAUAUACUAAAAAUUGGGAAUGAUACAGAGAAGAUUAGCAUGGCUUCUGCACAAGAAUGACAUGUAAAUUCAUGAAGCAUUCCAUAUUUUU
ensembl:snRNA U6 U6 spliceosomal RNA